GACGAACGCUGGCGGUGUGCUUAACACAUGCAAGUCGAACGGUAAGGCCCUUUCGGGGGUACACGAGUGGCGAACGGGUGAGUAACACGUGAGUAACCUGCCCUCAUCUCUGGGAUAACAGUCGGAAACGGUUGCUAAUACUGGAUAUGAGCCUGCAAGGCAUCUUGUGGGUUGGAAAGAUUUUUUGGUUGGGGAUGGACUCGCGGCCUAUCAGCUUGUUGGUGAGGUAGUGGCUCACCAAGGCUUCGACGGGUAGCCGGCCUGAGAGGGCGACCGGCCACAUUGGGACUGAGAUACGGCCCAAACUCCUACGGGAGGCAGCGGUGGGGAAUAUUGCACAAUGGACGGAAGUCUGAUGCAGCAACGCCGCGUGCGGGAUGACGGCCUUCGGGUUGUAAACCGCUUUCAAUUGUGACGAAGCUUUUUGUGACGGUAGCAGUAGAAGAAGCACCGGCUAACUACGUG
rnacentral:rRNA from 1 species